UACGUAGGGUGCAAGCGUUGUCCGGAAUUAUUGGGCGUAAAAGAGCUCGUAGGCGGUUUGUUGCGUCGGCUGUGAAAUCCCGAGGCUCAACCUCGGGUCUGCAGUCGAUACGAGCAAACUAGAGUGUUGCAGGGAGACUGGAAUUCCUGGUGUAGCGGUGAAAUGCGCAGAGUAUCGAGGAGGAACACCGGUGGCGAAGGCGGGUCUCUGGGCAA
rnacentral:rRNA from 1 species